rnacentral:rRNA from 1 species
CACCGCGGUUAUACGAGAGGUUCAAGCUGAUAGAUAGCGGCAUAAAGCGUGGUUAAUUAAAAUACAAAACUAAAGUCGAACACUCUCAAAGCUGUUAUACGCACUCGAGAGUAAGAAGCCCAUAAACGAAAGUAACUUUAAUAUUAUGAGCCCACGUAAGCUAUGAAA